UGUACAAAAGGGGAGAACAAAGGAUUCUUUUCGAGGGACAGUGCGAAGGUGUCAAGUAGAGGGAGGCGAUCCCGAGCCGCUCAGCGUGGUUUCGUCGGACGCCAGCGUCGGAGAUCGUCCAAUUUGAAGUGAGGAGGAAGGGAAGAAGGUAGAACCCGGGGAAGGUGCUCAAUCAAUGGGGAAGGCAGCUUUAGUUCGAGCAAUACCUUCUGAAGAUGCCUUGCGCCCUCCCUGGUCAUCAUUAGGGAUGACGGAUAGAGAAGAACGGAGAGGGACGUCUUGGAGGAGCUAGGGUUGUAUCUCAUGAGGACAGCUCCUUUUGCGUUUACCCUGAAGGAUUUUUAACCAUGAUACCACGCCAGAACAAAGAGCGAAGGUCAUCUAUUCUCCCGAGCAUCUAAACCUGUUGUGGGUUCAUCCAUGAAUAUGAUAGAAGGGCUUGAAACCAACUCCACUGCUAUCGUCAGACGUUUCCGUUGUUCUGCUUCUUUCUGAAGAAGCUGGCCAUAAUGGGAAGAGCCAAAGGAAUCUGAGAACUUCUGCACGGGUACGUACUGGAGACAAGUGAUCAGGAACCUGUUAACUUUAAGGAACAACUGGUAGUUGGUACCUCUUGAAGGAAGUUGGCGACGUUCUUCCUAUCAGGACAUUUGAAGCCC